rnacentral:rRNA from 1 species
AUUGAACGCUGGCGGCAGGCCUAACACAUGCAAGUCGAACGGUAGCACAGAGAGCUUGCUCUCGGGUGACGAGUGGCGGACGGGUGAGUAAUGUCUGGGAAACUGCCCGAUGGAGGGGGAUAACUACUGGAAACGGUAGCUAAUACCGCAUAACGUCGCAAGACCAAAGUGGGGGACCUUCGGGCCUCACACCAUCGGAUGUGCCCAGAUGGGAUUAGCUAGUAGGUGGGGUAAUGGCUCACCUAGGCGACAAUCCCUAGCUGGUCUGAGAGGAUGACCAGCCACACUGGAACUGAGACACGGUCCAGACUCCUACGGGAGGCAGCAGUGGGGAAUAUUGCACAAUGGGCGCAAGCCUGAUGCAGCCAUGCCGCGUGUAUGAAGAAGGCCUUCGGGUUGUAAAGUACUUUCAGCGGGGAGGAAGGCGGUGAAGUUAAUAACUUCACCGAUUGACGUUACCCGCAGAAGAAGCACCGGCUAACUCCGUGCCAGCCGCCGCUGUAA